rnacentral:lncRNA from 1 species
AUGCCACAGUUUGAAAAAUACUUAAUUUGGAAAACUCAGCAGUGGCCACAGGACUGGAAAAGGUCAGUUUUCAUUCCAGUCCCAAAGAAAGGCAAUGCCAAAGAAUGCUCAAACUACCACACAAUUGCACUCAUCUCACACACUAGUAAAGUAAUGCUCAAAAUUCUCCAAGCCAGGCUUCAGCAAUAUGUGAACCAUGAACUUCCUGAUGUUCAAGCUGGUUUUAGAAAAGGCAGAGGAACCAGAGAUCAAAUUGCCAACAUCCGCUGGAUCAUGGAAAAAGUAAGAGAGCUCCAGAAAAACAUCUAUUUCUGUUUUAUUGACUAUGCCAAAGCCUUUGACUGUGUGGAUCACAAUAAACUGUGGAAAAUUCUGAGAGAGAUGGGAAUACCAGACCACCUGACCUGCCUCUUGAGAAAUCUGUAUGCUGGUCAGGAAGCAACAGUUAGAACUGGACAUGGAACAACAGACUGGUUCCAAAUAGGAAAAGGAGUGCAUCAAGGCUGUAUAUUGUCACCCUGCUUAUUUAACUUAUAUGCAGAGUACAUCAUGAGAAACGCUGGACUGGAAGAAACACAAGCUGGAAUCAAGAUUGCUGGGAGAAAUAUCAAUAAUCUCAGAUAUGCAGAUGACACCACCCUUAUGGCAGAAAGUGAAGAGGAACUAAAAGGCCUCUUGAUGAAAGUGAAAGAGGAGAGUGAAAAAGUUGGCUUAAAGCUCAACAUUCAGAAAAUGAAGAUCAUGGCAUCUGGUCCCAUCACUUCAUGGGAAAUAGAUGCGGAAACAGUGGAGAUAGUGUCAGACUUUAUUUUGUGGGGCUCCAAAAUCACUGAAGAUGGUGAUUGCAGCCAUGAAAUUAAAAGAAGCUUACUCCUUGGAAGAAAAGUUAUGACCAACCUAGACAACAUAUUCAAAAGCAGAGACAUUACUUUGCCAAAAAAGGUCUGUCUAGUCAAGGCUAUGGUUUUUCCAGUGGUCAUGUAUGGAUGUGAGAGUUGGACUGUGAAGAAGGCUGAGUGCUGA